AUUGGCACUGUCCCUGUGGGCGGAGUGGAAACUGGUGUCCUCAAACCUGGCAUGGUGGUUACCUUUGCUCCAGUCAGUGUAACAACUGAAGUCAAGUCUGUGGAAAUGCACCAUGAAGCUCUGAGUGAAGCUCUGCCUGGGGACAAUGUGGGCUUCAACGUAAAGAACGAGUCUGUCAAAGAUGUUAUACGUGGCAAUGUUGCUGGUGACAGCAAAAAUGACCCACCAAUGGAAGCAGCUGGCUUCAUGCUCAGGUGAUUAUCCUGAACCAUCCAGGCCAAAUUAUGCUGGCUACGCUCCAUGCUCCUGUUCUGGCUUGUCACACGGCCCACAUAGCAUGCAAGUUUGCCGAGCUUAAAGAAAAGGUCG
rnacentral:lncRNA from 1 species